UGAAAAAAACGAAAAAAAGCAAAAAAGAAAGAAGGAGACGGAAGAGAACAAAGAAAGAGUAAAAAAGAAAAGGAAAGAAAUUUUUGUAUUAUUGGUUUGUACAAAAAAUCUAUUCUCAGACCUUAUGUAAGUUUUUGGUUUCGCAUGAUUGUGGUUAGUUUAAGAAGCAUUAUGAUGAUCUUGACAUAAAAUGUUUUAUGCAGCAAUGUAGAAAUUUUUUUCCUUUUAUAAAAUUAUUUUUAGUAAGUUUUGAAAAUAUUAUUGCAAAGGUUAAUGGUUUGGUGUUGACCUGUGUAGUUUUA
rnacentral:lncRNA from 1 species